GGGACACGUGGUAUCCUGUCUGAAUAUGGGGGGACCAUCCUCCAAGGCUAAAUACUCCUGACUGACCGAUAGUGAACCAGUACCGUGAGGGAAAGGCGAAAAGAACCCCGGCGAGGGGAGUGAAAAAGAACCUGAAACCGUGUACGUACAAGCAGUGGGAGCCUCUUAAUGGGGUGACUGCGUACCUUUUGUAUAAUGGGUCAGCGACUUAUAUUCUGUAGCAAGGUUAACCGAAUAGGGGAGCCGAAGGGAAACCGAGUCUUAACUGGGCGUUAAGUUGCAGGGUAUAGACCCGAAACCCGGUGAUCUAGCCAUGGGCAGGUUGAAGGUUGGGUAACACUAACUGGAGGACCGAACC
rnacentral:rRNA from 1 species